CUCCAUGAAGUCGGAAUCGCUAGUAAUCGUGGAUCAGAAUGCCACGGUGAAUACGUUCCCGGGCCUUGUACACACCGCCCGUCACACCAUGGGAGUGGGUUGCAAAAGAAGUAGGUAGCUUAACCUUCGGGAGGGCGCUUACCACUUUGUGAUUCAUGACUGGGGUGAAGUCGUAACAAGGUAACCGUAGGGGAACCUGCGGUUGGAUCACCUCCUUACCUUAAAGAA
rnacentral:rRNA from 1 species